rnacentral:rRNA from 1 species
AGUACUGCUAUCAGUAUUCGAUUAAGCCAUGCGAGUCAAAUGUUUUUCGUAAACAUGGCGUACUGCACAGUAACACGUGGAUAAUCUGCCCUAAGGUCUGGCAUAACUCCGGGAAACUGGUGAUAAUUCCAGAUAUGCCAUAGAAACUGGAAUGUUCUGUGGUCAAAAGCUCCGGCGCCUUAGGAUGAAUCUGCGGCCUAUCAGGUUGUAGUGGGUGUAGUGUACCUACUAGCCGACGACGGGUACGGGUUGUGAGAGCAAGAGCCCGGAGAUGGAUUCUGAGACAUGAAUCCAGGCCCUACGGGGCGCAGCAGGCGCGGAAACUUUACAAUGCGGGAAACCGCGAUAAGGGGAUACUGAGUGCCAGCAUCUUAUGUUGGCUGUCCGCAUGUAUAAAUAGCAUGUGUUAGCAAGGGCCGGGCAAGACCGGUGCCAGCCGCCGCGGUAACACCGGCGGCCCGAGUGGUGGCCACUAUUAUUGGGUCUAAAGGGUCCGUAGCCGGUUCGAUCAGUCUUCCGGGAAAUCUGACAGCUCAACUGUUAGGCUUCCGGGGGAUACUGUCGGACUUGGGACCGGGAGAGGUAAGAGGUACUACAGGGGUAGGAGUGAAAUCUUGUAAUCCUUGUGGGACCACCAGUGGCGAAGGCGUCUUACCAGAACGGGUCCGACGGUGAGGGACGAAAGCUGGGGGCACGAACCGGAUUAGAUACCCGGGUAGUCCCAGCCCGUAAACGAUGCUCGCUAGGUGUCUGGGACGGUGCGACCGUUUCANGUGCCGCAGGGAAGCCGUGAAGCGAGCCACCUGGGAAGUACNGCCGCAGGCUGAACUUA